rnacentral:ncRNA from 1 species
UGAAUUUGGUAACCCGUGUUUUAAUAGGGAAAACAGUAAAAUCUGUUACAGCCCCCGCUACUGUGAAAGGUGAUAAAACUCAUAGCCACUGUGAAAAUGGGAAGGCGAGUUUUAAAUGAGCCGAAAGUCAGGAAACCUGCCAAGUUUG